GAUGAACGCUGGCGGCGUGCCUAACACAUGCAAGUCGAGCGAGAAAUUUAUGAACGAAACUUCGGUCUAGGGAUUAAAUGGAAAGCGGCGGACGGGUGAGUAACGCGUAGGCAACCUGCCCCUUACAGAGGGAUAGCCUCGGGAAACCGGGAUUAAAACCUCAUAACACAUCAUAAACACAUGUUUGAGAUGUCAAAGAUUUAUCGGUAAGGGAUGGGCCUGCGUCUGAUUAGCUAGUUGGUAGGGUAACGGCCUACCAAGGCAACGAUCAGUAGCCGACCUGAGAGGGUAAUCGGCCACAUUGGAACUGAGACACGGUCCAAACUCCUACGGGAGGCAGCAGUGGGAAUAUUGCACAAUGGGCGAAAGCCUGAUGCAGCAACGCCGCGUGAGCGAAGAAGGCCUUUGGGUCGUAAAGCUCUGUCGGAAGGGAAGAAACAAAUGACGGUACCUUCUGAGGAAGCCCCGGCUAACUACGUGCCAGCCGCCGCCGUAAUAC
rnacentral:rRNA from 1 species